AAGUCAUAACAAGGUUUCCGUAGGUGAACCUGCGGAAGGAUCAUUAAAGAAUCGCCCCGUUUUUUGAAAUGGGUUCUAUUCCCAAACCGUGUUUACAUACCUUUGUUGCUUUGGCAGGCCGCCGCUUAGGCGUUGGCCCCGGCUGACUGCGCCUGCCAGAGGACCCAAACUCGUUUGUUUAGUGAUGUCUGAGUACUAUAUAAUAGUUAAAA
rnacentral:misc_RNA from 1 species